UGCCAGGCUCACCAGGUCGAAGAGGGUCUGAUGGAAUCCCUGGUGAAGCUGGUCCUCGCGGUCCACCUGGAAUUCCUGGAGAACAGGGACCGCAGGGCUACAUGGGAGCCAAGGGAAUCUGUGGAGAGAAAGGGGAGCAGGGCUUUAGAGGACUACCUGGACCAGUUGGGGAUAAAGGAGAAAAAGGAGCAAAGG